UGACUGAGAGAAUAAAAGUGAAAAAAAAGGUAACUUUUACAAGUACUAUAUAUUUACAGUGGCUGUUACAGACGCAAAUCAAAUGUAUGUGUUUAUUGUAUAAUAUUAACAAUAAGAGCAACUCACUACUCAAAACGGUAACUAUACAAGGCAGUCAGGAUCGAACUGGGGGACUCUUGAUUAUAAGUCAGCAAUUCCUACCGCUGCGCCACGGAAGCUAUUGUAUCAUCCUUGAACCUUUUGUGAAAGUGUUUAUUUGAUCUUUGCACUUCAGGCUUUACACAUUAUAUAGUUUGUCUACAUUUUGUCAUUUAUUACUAAAAUAUGAAAAACAUUUCUGUUUUAACGAUGUAUUUUUUGGUUAAGUUAAAUGCACUUUUUUUUGUUUAAAGACUACCUGCACUUUAGUUUGUAUUGUUUAAUGUAUUUCUUUUUUAUUGUGAUGGUCACACUAAUAUAAAAACAUCAGAUUAUUUUCAAAUUCAUAUGUUUCACUGGUUGUUAUUUUAAUUUGAUUAUUAUUAAUUUUAAUUGUGUUAAUGCAGAGACAUCAGGGUGACAUUCACAGCAGGAUGUGCAACCACAGGUCACAGGCUUCAAAAUAGUCAGGCAUGAAAUAAUCGUGACUGAUCGA